rnacentral:rRNA from 1 species
GAUGAACGCUGGCGGCGUGCCUAAUACAUGCAAGUCGAGCGAACGGACGAGAAGCUUGCUUCUCUGAUGUUAGUGGCGGACGGGUGAGUAACACGUGGAUAACCUACCUAUAAGACUGGGAUAACUUCGGGAAACCGGAGCUAAUACCGGAUAAUAUUUUGAACCGCAUGGUUCAAAAGUGAAAGACGGUCUUGCUGUCACUUAUAGAUGGAUCCGCGCUGCAUUAGCUAGUUGGUAAGGUAACGGCUUACCAAGGCAACGAUGCAUAGCCGACCUGAGAGGGUGAUCGGCCACACUGGAACUGAGACACGGUCCAGACUCCUACGGGAGGCAGCAGUAGGGAAUCUUCCGCAAUGGGCGAAAGCCUGACGGAGCAACGCCGCGUGAGUGAUGAAGGUCUUCGGAUCGUAAAACUCUGUUAUUAGGGAAGAACAUAUGUGUAAGUAACUGUGCACAUCUUGACGGUACCUAAUCAGAAAGCCACGGCUAACUACGUGCCAGCAGCCGCGGUAAUACGUAGGUGGCAAGCGUUAUCCGGAAUUAUUGGGCGUAAAGCGCGCGUAGGCGGUUUUUUAAGUCUGAUGUGAAAGCCCACGGCUCAACCGUGGAGGGUCAUUGGAAACUGGAAAACUUGAGUGCAGAAGAGGAAAGUGGAAUUCCAUGUGUAGCGGUGAAAUGCGCAGAGAUAUGGAGGAACACCAGUGGCGAAGGCGACUUUCUGGUCUGUAACUGACGCUGAUGUGCGAAAGCGUGGGGAUCAAACAGGAUUAGAUACCCUGGUAGUCCACGCCGUAAACGAUGAGUGCUAAGUGUUAGGGGGUUUCCGCCCCUUAGUGCUGCAGCUAACGCAUUAAGCACUCCGCCUGGGGAGUACGACCGCAAGGUUGAAACUCAAAGGAAUUGGCGGGGACCCGCACAAGCGGUGGAGCAUGUGGUUUAAUUCGAAGCAACGCGAAGAACCUUACCAAAUCUUGACAUCCUUUGACAACUCUAGAGAUAGAGCUUUCCCCUUCGGGGGACAAAGUGACAGGUGGUGCAUGGUUGUCGUCAGCUCGUGUCGUGAGAUGUUGGGUUAAGUCCCGCAACGAGCGCAACCCUUAAGCUUAGUUGCCAUCAUUAAGUUGGGCACUCUAAGUUGACUGCCGGUGACAAACCGGAGGAAGGUGGGGAUGACGUCAAAUCAUCAUGCCCCUUAUGAUUUGGGCUACACACGUGCUACAAUGGACAAUACAAAGGGCAGCGAAACCGCGAGGUCAAGCAAAUCCCAUAAAGUUGUUCUCAGUUCGGAUUGUAGUCUGCAACUCGACUACAUGAAGCUGGAAUCGCUAGUAAUCGUAGAUCAGCAUGCUACGGUGAAUACGUUCCCGGGUCU